rnacentral:rRNA from 1 species
GACGAGCGCUGGCGGCGUGCCUAAUACAUGCAAGUUGAGCGCUGAAGGUUGGUACUUGUACCAACUGGAUGAGCAGCGAACGGGUGAGUAACGCGUGGGGAAUCUGCCUUUGAGCGGGGGACAACAUUUGGAAACGAAUGCUAAUACCGCAUAAAAACUUUAAACACAAGUUUUAAGUUUGAAAGAUGCAAUUGCAUCACUCAAAGAUGAUCCCGCGUUGUAUUAGCUAGUUGGUGAGGUAAAGGCUCACCAAGGCGAUGAUACAUAGCCGACCUGAGAGGGUGAUCGGCCACAUUGGGACUGAGGCACGGCCCAAACUCCUACGGGAGGCAGCAGUAGGGAAUCUUCGGCAAUGGACGAAAGUCUGACCGAGCAACGCCGCGUGAGUGAAGAAGGUUUUCGGAUCGUAAAACUCUGUUGGUAGAGAAGAACGUUGGUGAGAGUGGAAAGCUCAUCAAGUGACGGUAACUACCCAGAAAGGGACGGCUAACUACGUG